CCCGCCCCUCCACCGAGCCAGGCCGCGGCGCCGCCCCUCCACGCUCGGCUCGGCGCACGCAGUCACACACUAGCAGACAGCGGCAGUGGAAAGAGAGGAGUGAGAAGCAGAAGAAGAACAAGAACAGGAGAGAAGACCCGGAUGAGAGAGAGAGAGGAAAGACGAGAGGGAAAGGUAAUAUGACCUCCUUCAAGUUGAUCCAUAAAGUACAUAUUUAAAAGGAAGGGAUAUUGUACAGCAGAAUAGCUUCUGAAAUCUGAACUACUAUAGAAGUGUACAGUUUUGACAGAGCGCUUGCUUCUAGCCAAUGCACUAGUGUACGUAUCACUGAAUAUACAAUACUCAUCAUUUAUGUAAUAACCAGCUUUGGAAAGAAUGUACAUACCUGAGAAAGAAUCGAUGACUUUUCUAGUUUCAACAAAUUAACAUUAUUCUGAA